rnacentral:rRNA from 12 species
GUUAUUAGUUACAUUUUUAUUCACAUGAGCGGCCACACAGUCCUACGAGUGCCCGAUCGAGAGCCUGCUUAGUACUUGGAUGGGAUGCCACCUUGGAAGACCAGGGACCAUUAGUC